rnacentral:rRNA from 1 species
GCGGCAGGCCUAACACAUGCAAGUAGAACGGUAACAGAGAGAGCUUGCUCUCUGCUGACGAGUUGCGAACGGGUGCGUAACGCGUAUGCAACCUACCCAUAACAGGGAGAUAGCCCAUAGAAAUGUGGAUUAAUACCCCAUAAUAUCAUAGAUUGGCAUCAUGAAAUGAUUAAAACUCCGGUGGUUAUGGAUGGGCAUGCGUGACAUUAGCUAGUUGGUGAGGUAACUGCUCACCAAGGCGACGAUGUCUAGGGGUUCUGAGAGGAUGAUCCCCCACACUGGUACUGAGACACGGACCAGACUCCUACGGGAGGCAGCAGUGAGGAAUAUUGCGCAAUGGAGGAAACUCUGACGCAGCCAUGCCGCGUGCAGGAAGACUGCCCUAUGGGUUGUAAACUGCUUUUAUAUAGGAAGAACUACAGCUACGUGUAGCUGUUUGACGGUACUAUACGAAUAAGGACCGGCUAACUCCGUGCCAGCAGCCGCGGUAAUACGGAGGGUCCAAGCGUUAUCCGGAUUUAUUGGGUUUAAAGGGUCCGUAGGCGGGUUAUUAAGUCAGUGGUGAAAUCCUACAGCUCAACUGUAGAACUGCCAUUGAAACUGCUAACCUUGAGUAUAAUUGAAGUGGGCGGAAUGUGUCAUGUAGCGGUGAAAUGCUUAGAUAUGACACAGAACACCGAUUGCGAAGGCAGCUCACUAAGUUAUAACUGACGCUGAGGGACGAAAGCGUGGGUAGCGAACAGGAUUAGAUACCCUGGUAGUCCACGCCGUAAACGAUGUACACUCGUUGCUGGCGAUACACAGUCAGUGACCAAGCGAAAGUGUUAAGUGUACCACCUGGGGAGUACGCUC